rnacentral:rRNA from 1 species
AUUGAACGCUGGCGGCAUGCUUUACACAUGCAAGUCGAGCGGCAGCGCGGGGGCAACCCUGGCGGCGAGCGGCGAACGGGUGAGUAAUGCAUCGGAACGUAUCCUCGAGUGGGGGAUAACCCAGCGAAAGUUGGGCUAAUACCGCAUGAGCUCUGAGGAGGAAAGCGGGGGACCUGCGAGGGCCUCGCGCUGGAGGAGCGGCCGAUGUCCGAUUAGCUAGUUGGUGGGGUAAAGGCUUACCAAGGCGACGAUCGGUAGCUGGUCUGAGAGGAUGAUCAGCCACACGGGGACUGAGACACGGCCCAGACUCCUACGGGAGGCAGCAGUGGGGAAUUUUGGACAAUGGGGGCAACCCUGAUCCAGCCAUGCCGCGUGAGUGAAGAAGGCCUUCGGGUUGUAAAGCUCUUUCGGACGGAACGAAAUGGGCGGGACUAAUACUCCUGUCUGAUGACGGUACCGUAAGAAGAAGCACCGGCUAACUACGUG